AUCUUGUCCCAGCUGAUCCAGAAUCCUUCCUUUGGGGAAUGAAAUGUCUGAGCCCUCUACAGAAUGAAAGAAAAGGAGCACUAAGGCCAAGCAGUGACAGGCACCAUUUGGAAAGGUUGAAAUUAAGACGAGUGAAGACUUUGAAGACAGAAGACCUCAUGAUGUUCUAUUCAAGCUUCAGGCCCUAGUGAAGCAAAAGAUUUGCCCUUGGAGUCAUUGCUCAAAAUUCCCUCCCCCACUUCCUGACAUAUCAGAGGUGCCAGAGAUGAAGUUUUCAGGCUGUCCAUGCCUUGGUGUUUUAGGUGUAAGCAUACCUUUGCUGGGGAGGGAAGCAACAGGAAUAACUGUACUUAAAAGUGACUGUUUUCAAACCAGGUGAAUUCUGUGUUGUGAGAGGAAAAACAUUGAUCUGAGUCUUCAGCCUGCAUCUCUGUCAUCUUGAGACUUUAGUAAAUAUAAGAAAAAGUCUUCCAAAAUAUGUAGGUUCAGACUACCUGUGUUACUAUUGCUA
rnacentral:lncRNA from 1 species